ACGGAGGGGGCUAGCGUUGUUCGGAAUUACUGGGCGUAAAGGGCGCGUAGGCGGUUCGGUAAGUUAGGCGUGAAAGGCCUGGGCUCAACCCGGGAACUGCGCUUAAGACUGUCGGGCUGUGAGUCCGGGAGAGGAUGGCGGAAUUCCCAGUGUAGAGGUGAAAUUCGUAGAUAUUGGGAAGAACACCAGUGGCGAAGGCGGCCAUCUGGCCCGGUACUGACGCUGAGGCGCGAAAGCGUGGGGAGCAAACAGGA
rnacentral:rRNA from 1 species